rnacentral:rRNA from 2 species
GGAGGGAUCAUUACAAGUGACCCCGGUCUAACCACCGGGAUGUUCAUAACCCUUUGUUGUCCGACUCUGUUGCCUCCGGGGCGACCCUGCCUUCGGGCGGGGGCUCCGGGUGGACACUUCAAACUCUUGCGUAACUUUGCAGUCUGAGUAAACUUAAUUAAUAAAUUAAAACUUUUAACAACGGAUCUCUUGGUUCUGGCAUCGAUGAAGAACGCAGCGAAAUGCGAUAAGUAAUGUGAAUUGCAGAAUUCAGUGAAUCAUCGAAUCUUUGAACGCACAUUGCGCCCCCUGGUAUUCCGGGGGGCAUGCCUGUUCGAGCGUCAUUUCACCACUCAAGCCUCGCUUGGUAUUGGGCAACGCGGUCCGCCGCGUGCCUCAAAUCGACCGGCUGGGUCUUCUGUCCCCUAAGCGUUGUGGAAACUAUUCGCUAAAGGGUGUUCGGGAGGCUACGCCGUAAAACAACCCCAUUUCUAAGGUUGACCUCGGAUCAGGUAGGGAUACCCGCUGAACUUAAGCAUAU